GAUGAACGCUGGCGGCGUGCCUAAUACAUGCAAGUCGAGCGAACGGACGAGAAGCUUGCUUCUCUGAUGUUAGCGGCGGACGGGUGAGUAACACGUGGAUAACCUACCUAUAAGACUGGGAUAACUUCGGGAAACCGUAGCUAAUACCGGAUAAUAUUUUGAACCGCAUGGUUCAAAAGUGAAAGACGGUCUUGCUGUCACUUAUAGAUGGAUCCGCGCUGCAUUAGCUAGUUGGUAAGGUAACGGCUUACCAAGGCAACGAUGCAUAGCCGACCUGAGAGGGUGAUCGGCCACACUGGAACUGAGACACGGUCCAGACUCCUACGGGAGGCAGCAGUAGGGAAUCUUCCGCAAAGGGCGAAAGCCUGACGGAGCAACGCCGCGUGAGUGAUGAAGGUCUUCGGAUCGUAGAACUCUGUUAUUAGGGAAGAACAUAUGUGUAAGUAACUGUGCACAUCUUGACGGUACCUAAUCAGAAAGCCACGGCUAACUACGUG
rnacentral:rRNA from 1 species